UAUUCAGUAUGCAAAUUGGCACUGACCAUUGGAUACGUUUAGUUUUUAAAAUUGUAGAUCAAAGACUGCCUUAUUCCUGUUAACUCCCGAUGGAGCAUAGGGCUGCAACAAAACCACGCCAAAGUCCGUUGUCGUGGGUCAAAGCUGAAAGGCUAGAAUUAAGGAACGAAAUCUUGUUCUGGGAUUGUGUAAGUAAGUAUGACCAGUUUCUGUCUAAUCUACAUGAAACAUCCAAAAAAUACCAUUCACUCGACUGUACAAUUAAAUUGCAGAUUUAACUCACAGUCACUGGGCAGGUCUCCUCCAGUAUCCCCCUGUCAUUCAAUUAAAGAGAGAGAGAGAGUUUCGCCAUAUCACGUGACAUGUUUACAACUAUGAUAAACUGAAAGUUAUGCGUAGAAUGCCAACUCCUACUGCACUGCAUUGACCACGCAUUUGGGAAGAUGAGAGUAGAAACUUAUUGGAUAGGGAUAAUAUUACUCCUUUCGAUCAUCAGUUUAGGUGCAGGCGGAUCCAUUGUGAUUAUUUGUGAAAAUCACAAUGCCUACCUACGUUGCCCGCCUUCCCACACAAUUCGUAUUCUAAGUGCAAACUAUGGAAGAACCGAGAGAAAUAUUUGCCCGGCUCGCUCUCGAUGGAUGAGGGAUUUCAACUGCCACUCGUCGAAUUCGCAGGUGAAGGUCAUGUCAAGAUGCGACAGCCACACUGAAUGUUUCUUAGAAGCGAAGAACAGUGUGUUUGGAGAUCCGUGCGUUGGAACUUACAAGUAUCUGUAUGUGGAAUUUUUCUGUGAGGAAACCACAGCCGUCCCCGCGUGAAGAUAGAUCGAUAUCUGCAACCUUCUUCCGACACAAACACUUACACCUUUGCAAUAUUUUGACCAUGUGUAGUUUAUAUGCUUAAUUAAAUAAAAAUUUCAGAAAUCA